rnacentral:tRNA from 1 species
AUUUAAAUAGUUUAAGAAAAACAUAAUAUUGAAGAUAUUAAAAUAAUAUUUUUAUUUUUAAAUA